UACGUAGGGUGCGAGCGUUGUCCGGAAUUAUUGGGCGUAAAGGGCUCGUAGGCGGUUUGUCGCGUCGGGAGUGAAAACCCAGGGCUUAACCCUGGGCUGGCUUCCGAUACGGGCAGACUAGAGUGAUGUAGGGGAGACUGGAAUUCCUGGUGUAGCGGUGAAAUGCGCAGAUAUCAGGAGGAACACCGAUGGCGAAGGCAGGUCUCUGGGCAUUAACUGACGCUGAGGAGCGAAAGCAUGGGGAGCGAACAGG
rnacentral:rRNA from 1 species